rnacentral:rRNA from 1 species
AACGAACGCUGGCGGCAGGCCUAACACAUGCAAGUCGAGCGAUCCUUUCGGGGAUAGCGGCGGACGGGUGAGUAACGCGUGGGAACGUACCCUUUGCUACGGAAUAGCCCCGGGAAACUGGGAGUAAUACCGUAUGUGCCCUCUGGGGGAAAGAUUUAUCGGCAAAGGAUCGGCCCGCGUUGGAUUAGGUAGUUGGUGGGGUAAUGGCCUACCAAGCCGACGAUCCAUAGCUGGUUUGAGAGGAUGAUCAGCCACACUGGGACUGAGACACGGCCCAGACUCCUACGGGAGGCAGCAGUGGGGAAUCUUAGACAAUGGGGGCAACCCUGAUCUAGCCAUGCCGCGUGAGUGAUGAAGGCCCUAGGGUUGUAAAGCUCUUUCAGCUGGGAAGAUAAUGACGGUACCAGCAGAAGAAGCCCCGGCUAACUCCGUG